rnacentral:rRNA from 1 species
UACGGGGGGGUAAGCGUUGUUCGGAAUUACUGGGCGUAAAGGGCUCGUAGGCGGCCAACUAAGUCAUACGUGAAAUCCCUCAGCUUAACUGGGGAACUGCGUGUGAUACUGGAUGGCUUGGAUUUGGGAGAGGGAUGCGGAAUUCCAGGUGUAGCGGUGAAAUGCGUAGAUAUCUGGAGGAACACCGGUGGCGAAGGCGGCAUCCUGGACCAAUAUUGACGCUGAGGAGCGAAAGCCAGGGGAGCAAAGCGGG